rnacentral:rRNA from 1 species
GAUCUGCGGCCUCGAAGAACGGUCCCCCGAAAGGGCGGUCACUGUCUCUUCUAGCCUAAAUUCAAGUUGUCUUUAGGUGCUCUUUACUGAGUGCUUAGAGCGACUAGAACGUUUACUUUGAAAAAAUUAGAGUGCUUAAAGCAGGCGAAAUAGUCUGUAUAAGGUGCAUGGAAUAAUGGAAUAGGAUCUCGGUUCUAUUUUGUUGGUUUUCGGAGCCCGAGAUAAUGAUUAAGAGGAACAGACGGGGGCAUUCGUAUUUCGGCGCUAGAGGUGAAAUUCUUGGACCGCCGAAAGACGAACGACUGCGAAAGCAUUUGCCAAGAAUGUUUUCAUUAAUCAAGAACGAAAGUUAGAGGUUCGAAGGCGAUCAGAUACCGCCCUAGUUCUAACCGUAAACGAUGACAACCAGCGAUUAAUCGGCGUUAAUAUACGACCCGAUUAGCAGCUUCCGGGAAACCAAAGUUUUUCGUUUCCGGGGGAAGUAUGGUUGCAAAGCUGAAACUUAAAGG